rnacentral:misc_RNA from 1 species
UAUUGCUUUGUUAAAAUCAUGGUCUCCACCUCAGAAAAAGAAGUAUCCUCUCCCCAUGACCUCAAAAACCUUUAAAAAGAAAAACAUAUGCCAAAAAGGUAGAUAAUUUUGCUACCACAGAAGGGUAUUUCCGUCCAAAAAGAAUAGAUAAUACACUUCAGAUAGAUACAGAGCAACGCAGAGAGAUGGGAGUUUGAGGAAGA